CAAAACGGGACCGGCAACAAGGGACUCACGAAAGGCGGCGAUUACACGACCACGAAGCUUGGGGACCUGCGAUUCAGUUGCUCGCCAGAGGCUCUACGGGUGGCUUGAGAUAAGCUGCAGUGUUUGGUUCGAGCAGGAAACGUCUUUCUCCAAAAGACAAGGGAUGACCUGCAACACAAAAUUUACGAGGAAGGAAAGUCCUCGUUGAAAGCCUAGCUACAGGACUUCACCAGCCAAC
rnacentral:lncRNA from 1 species